rnacentral:lncRNA from 1 species
UAUAGAGAGAAUUCCCGCAGGAGAGAGAUGGCAUAUUUCAAAUUGAGACUAUUCGAUCCAGGGGCUGGUCAUCAAGAUGGAGCAGGGUAUAGAGAAGCCAUUAGGGAUGAUACAGAACACCACCAAAGGAGCUCCUUCUGGGAUUCUCUAUUGGCUGAACUCAGCCAGAAGCUGCCAAGGGAGACCCCCACAACUGGAUGCAGCCCACUGAAGUCAGCUUCCUGGGGUGCGUAGCUGAAGGUAGCAGGGAGCAAAAAGAAUCUGAAGGGGAAGUGAACAAUGUAGAGCGUAUCUGUGCUGAAGACGUAAGGAGAGAGUGGAGGUCAGAAGCUGGCAUGGUCCCUGGUGCAUGUAUCAGCCGCUAAAGCUGGAGUGGAUGAAUCAGAACUUUCCCCAUGGGAGCAUUUAUAAAAAGGGGACACCCAGCGCAGAAGAUGUUUUCCAGGGAGAUCUCGGGGAGCCCAACAAGCCAAGAAGAGCAGAGCAAAGCAUUCCAAGGAAGGACUCUAAGUCUGCAACCGAGCACACACGAGGGUAGCCUACGCAUGUACGUCUUGCAGUGAUGGCAAGGAGCAGGAGAAAGAAAGCCCAUCCAAACAAGCAUAUUGGAAGCCUAUGUAUCCCAUAAGCUGACAUCUUGUUGCCCAAAGCAUGUCAUGUGCGUGGUCCAGAGUCAGUGUUGAAGGGCUCUGCAAAAUCACAUGCACAAGGAAAGACCAUGUGAAUACACAGCAAGAACGUGGUGCUCUGCAAGUCAGAAACAGACCCGUCAUCAGACACCAAAUCAGCCAGCACCUUGAUCUAGGAUUUCUGGCCUCCAAAACAGUGAGAAAAUAAAAUUCUGUUGUUUAAGCCAUGCAGCCUGUUGUAUUUCAUUAUGGCAGCCUGAGCAGAAUAAGACAGGUAUAUACAAAUGCAAAUUCUAUUAAGAAAUCUGUAUCUUUUACCCUAUUGAAGUAAGUUAUACCUCAAUUGAAGAAUAAAUAAAAGAGAAAGAAGGAGCAGCACAACCUUGUUUGUAUUCCCAACCUGGUGAGUGGGUGAUAUAGGUUGCCUCUCACUGUGCCCACUCAGCUGAUGAGAAAAGUGCAGCUUUGAGUGAAGAAGUGACAUGUGGCUAUGGUGGC